GACUUUGUAGUCAAGUGGUUAAGAUUUUAGAUUUAGGCUCUAAAGGCCCGAGUUCGAUCCUCGGCAAAGUCA
rnacentral:tRNA from 1 species